GGAGAGAUGGCCGAGUGGUUGAAGGCGCAGUCCUGGAAAGACUGUAUACUCCAAAAGGGUAUCGAGGGUUCGAAUCCCUCUCUCUCCG
rnacentral:tRNA from 1 species